rnacentral:misc_RNA from 1 species
GAUGAAGAACGUAACGAAAUGCGAUACUUGGUGUGAAUUGCAGAAUCCCGUGAACCAUCGAGUCUUUGAACGCAAGUUGCGCCCGAAGCCAUUAGGCCGAGGGCACGCCUGCCUGGGCGUCACACGUCGUUGCCCCCCCAUCUACUCCUUCGGGAUUGCGGGGGGCGGAUGAUGGCCUCCCGUGCGCCUCGCCGCGCGGUUGGCAUAAAUGCCAAGUCCUCGGCGACGCACGCCACGACAAUCGGUGGUUGCGAAACCUCGGUUGCCCGUCGUGUGCGGUCGUCGCGCAUCGAGGGCUCGAAAAAAUUGCCGGGUUCCGGCUCGGCUUUCAACGCGACCCCAGGUCAGGCGGGGUUACCCGCUGAAUUUAAGCAUAUCAAUAAGCGGAGGA